rnacentral:lncRNA from 1 species
UCACCAAGGCAAUGAUGUUUGUCCCAUACCUGGCACUACCAAGAUUGAGAACCUCAAUCAGAAUAUAGGAGCUUUGUCUGUAAAACUGUCGGCAGAAGAUAUGGCGGAACUUGAAUCUAUUGCUUCUGCAGGAGUCAAGGGUGAGAGAUACGGACCUGAAAUCAGCACAUGGCAAAAUUCUGAAACUCCACCAUUGUCAACCUGGAAGAGGACAUGAAGACAUAGCUUUGUUGUGGCAAUAAUUCCUUCUAGCUAUUUGCCUGAUGGUGGAUUUCACUAUAUUAAGAGUUGAGUGAUAUGUAUUUGUCCCUAUAAAUUUCGUCAUACUAUUGUCUCCAGGGUUAAGGCAAGUAAAGUUAUAAGAAGAAUGGAGUUUCUUCAGAAAGGUUGUAAUGAAUAAAGAUCUGGUCAUGUAAAAGCAGAACAUAAUUUUCCUUGCAGUUGAAUGCAUUAAAGGUUAUGUAUUGUACUUUUGAAUGCUAAAGUGGUCCAUUUUUUAUGUGUUACUGCUACGAGAGUUAUAGAUUGUUGGACAUCAUUUUUUGGUUGGAAUGUUUACAUCAAAGCGUCUCCAAGGACAUGUCAUUCUAAAGUUUAAACUACAUCAUACCAACAAAAUGCAGAAAAAGGUCUAAAGUAUGGGAUGUUUGUAAAUUUUCACGGGAGGCUUUGUUGGGUAAAUUGUAAAGGACUAGCAAAUAUUGUAACAAGAAUUGGCUUCAAAUCGUGAUAGAAAUCACUUUCCUUUAGGCUUUAUUUGUCCGGUAUAACGUGCAAUAACCUUAGACAAAUAUCCUUUAAGAUAAGAUGAAGUUUUGUUUGUCUUAAACUCUUGCACAAAGCAAGACAAACCCUUUGUGAACUAAGGAGUGCUUUUGAGAGAGUAAGGAUAGUAGGAAAGUGAUUUUCUGCAGCAAACUACUCUCUACUUGACCUCUUUAUAUAGGAAGAUUGUUUGGGAAACAAAAGAUCUCAUUAAACACUUGUAUGAAUAGAUUCAAAGUAUUGUGUACACAUUCAUGCACUUUAAUUCAUGCAUCUCAUGAUCAUUUAGAUCAAAACAUGAAUCUAUCCUUUCAUUCAAUAAUUCUCAUAUACAUGAAUACAUUCAUAAAUGAAUGUACUUUUAGGAACAUUCACAAUACUAUACAUGUACCAAAAAUUAAUGAAUACAUUAAUUACAUGUAUGUACAUCAUACAAAUUUUGAAAAGUUUCCAACAAUCCUCCGCCAUUUUCAAAAUUUAGAAAAUGGAUUUCUAAAAGGUCACCAAGUAAUCUGACACUCAUAUGCAUAAAUAAUGGUGUCUUUCGAUUGAACCACUAUCUUAGUGAAGGUUCUUUGAAAUCAAUCCUUCAAGAUGGUAGACAAGCUUUGAACCACUUGGACAUUGGACCAACCUCAUAAACACAUCACACACUGAGCAAUGCACAACCAUAAGUUCUUCAACGAUACAUUUUACGGCCUUGUAUCACUAUCCUUUCUUGAAUGUUUACAAAGUAAAGUCCUUAAUUUUGUGGUUUGCCAAAAAUUAACAUUCAUAUAGGCGACAUCUUAGUGCCCCCGCCAUAGAUAGCACUUUUAAGAUUCGUUAAGAGUCCAAUGACUCAUCCUUACAUUUGCACUGGCGAGAAUAACAUGCACUAUUCAACAUUGGGAUGUCUAAACUUCACAUAGUGCACCAACCACUAGAAUGGUGUACUUUCACUCAUUGAAUUCAAGACUAGACGUUGUAUUUAGCGUUGAAUUGAGGUUCCACCAUUAGCGAUAAAAAAUUUUGGACUUUAAACCAAUUCCCCUUGAUGUCUUUGACACCAAAUUUCUUGAUAAUCCUUUUAUCAAAGGAUCACUUAAAUUUUCAUUUGAUCUCACAAAGUCAAUUGAUAUGACUCCAUUUGUAAUCAAAUCUUUGACAUAACUAUGUCUCAAACCGAUAUGUCUUGAUUUACCAUUAUACACUUGACUAUAUGCUUUAGCAAGUGUAGCUGCACUAUCACAAUGGAUUGAGAUAGGCGAUAAAGGUGUUGGCCACAAUGGUAUAUCAUAAAGUAAAUUACGUAGCCAUUUAGCUUCUUUACAGGCCGAAACAAGUGCUACAAACUCUGCUGCCAUUGUUGAAUCGGUGAUACAAGUCUGUUUCUUAGAACCCCAAGAAAUUGCACCUCCACUAAGCAUAAAGAUUCAACCACUUGUCGACGAGUGAUCAUCUUUAUUGGUGAUCCAACAAGCAUCUGAAAAUCCUUUUAAAACUGAAGGAUAACCGGUAUAACAUAUACCAUAGUUCUUAGUGGCCUUUAAAUACUUUAAAAUUUUGGUUACACCUUGCCAAUGUAACCUACUAGGGUUGCUUGUAUAUCUGUUCAAUAUACCAACUGCAUAUGCAAUAUCAGGUUUAGUACAAGUCAUUGCAUACAUUAAAUACCCUAUAACCUUGGCAUAUUCCAUUUGAGAUUUUAGAUCCCCCUCAUUUUUCACAAAAUUUAUUUUAGAAUCCAAUGGUGUUGAGGCUGGAAUACAAUCACUUUGAUUGAAUUUGUUAAGAAUCUUUUCAAUAUAAUGUGUUUGAGACAACAUUAUAUUGUUAUCAUAUUUGAAGAUUCUCAUACCAAGAAUGACAUCUGCCUCACCCAUGUUUUUCAUGUCAAAUUUGAUUGAAAGCAAAGUUUUUGUGACUUCAACUUGUUCCAAGUCAGUCCCAAAAAUCAACAUGUCAUCAACAUAUAAACAAAUUAUGACACCUUUGCCAUAAUCAAACUUGCUAUAAAUACAUUUAUCAGAUUCAUUUAUUUUGAAUCCACUAGCAAGAAUAAUUUGGUCAAAUUUCCGAUGCCAUUGCUUCGGUACUUGUUUUAGUCCAUAUAAAAACUUUACAAGUUUACACACCUUAUGCUCUUGACCAAGUAUCACAAACCCUUCGGGUUGCUCCAUAUAUAUUUCUUCAUCCAAAUCACCAUUCAAGAAUGCUGUUUUAACAUCCAUUUGGUGAAUGACUAGAUUUUGGAUAGAAACUAUAGCAAGUAGCACUCUAAUUGUAGCAAUUCUAGCUACUGGUGAAUAUGUGUCAAAAUAGUCCACACCAUACUUUUGUGUAAACCUUUUGGCAACCAACAUGGCCUUGAACUUAUCAAUAGUUCCGUCGAUCUUCAUUUUCUUCUUAAAGAUCCACUUACAACCAAUUGGUUUUGAACCAGGUGGUAAAUCUACUAAUUUUCAGGUUUUAUUAUCCAUGAUUGAGUCCAUCUCAUCAUUAAUAGCUUCCUUCCAAAAGGGAGCAUCUUGUUAGUUCAUUGCUUCUUCAUAGGUCUUGGGAUCAGUCUCAAUAUUGAAGCAAUAUGAGAUUUGGUUGCUCACUGUAUCUCUAGUUCUUUCAACUAGAUACAUAUAAAAGUCCGAACCGAAGUCUUUUGAUUUUCUAGCUCUUUUGCUCCUUCUCAAUUCAAUGGUUUCAUUUUCACCAUCUUUUGUCAAUUCACUUGAUUUUGGAAUAACAUCUUUUAUAGAGGUGAACCUAUUCUCUUCAAAAAUAGCAUCUCUAGACUCAAUUAUGGUAUUAACCGAAAUUGAAUCAUUAGGUUCAAUUACCAUGAACCUAUAUGCUUUGCUAUUUUGUGCAUAUCUUAAAAAUAUACACUCCACACCUCUUUCUCCCAAUUUCCUUUUUUGAGGUUCUGGGAGUUUUACAAUAGCUCUACAACCCCAAACUUUCAAAUAGUUUAGGUUGGACUUCCUUUUAUUCCAAAAUUUAUAAGGGGUUAUAGAACUUCUUUUAUUAGAAACUCUAUUUAGGAUAUGACAAGCCGUUAACAAGGCUUCACUCCAAAAUCCUUGACUUAAACCAGAUUUUGACAAAAGUGCAUUAACCAUUUCUGUCAAUACACGAUUUUUCCUUUCGGCUACACCAUUUUAUUGUGGUGUGUAAGGAGCAGUCACCUCAUGUUUUAUCCCAACAGACUCAAAAUAGGUAAUAUCAUAAUAUUCCCCACCUCUAUCUGUUCUUAGACAUUUGAUAAAGGAUUCACAAUGAAGUUCAACUUCUGAUUUGUAUGCCUUAAAUUUUUGCAAAGUUUCACUUUUUGAGUGUAACAAGAAAACAUGACAGUAUCUACUAUAAUCAUCAAUAAAAGUCACAAAGUACUUUUUACCACCCAAAAUAGGAGUACCAUGCAAAUCACGUACAUCACUAUGAAUCAAAUUCAAGAUUUUAGAUGAUCUUUCAACUUUAGAAAACGAAUUUCUUGUGAUUUUCGUUAGCAUGCAUGUUUUGUAUUUUCCUUCAAUUUUAUCACAAUAUGGCAGCAAAUCAAGUCUCAUCAUUUCAUGCAUUCUUUUGUAAUUAACAUGACCAAUCCUAUUAUGCCACAAUUUAAAAGAAGACUCAACCAAAGACGCAGAAAUAAUAUCACUCUUAUUAUUUCUAAUAGCGAGUACAUUCAACUUAAACAUCCCACUGCAAAGAUAACCCUUGCCUACAAACAUACCACCUUUAGACAAAAUAAAUUUGUCAGACUCAAAUAUAAGUCUAAAGCCAAAUUUAUUUAACAGCUCAGCCGACACCAAGUUCUUCCUAACUUCCGGUACAUAAAACACAUUUGUCAAGGUUACAACAUUUUCGAAAGUAAAUUUUAAUUCUAUUUCUCCAAUGUCUUGAACCGGAAUUGUAGCAGAAUUUUUCAUGUAAACAACGGUGCUUUCAUCCACCGGUUUCAUGGACUUGAAGAACGUUCUAUUGUUGCACACGUGUCGCGUAGCUCCAGAAUCAACCCACCAAGCAAAAUUAUCUUCAAUCAUAUUGAUUUCAGAUAUCAUUGCUACAAGAAUUUUGCUUGUGGUUUGGGAAGACUCUUGCUUCUUCUUCUUGUUUUGAAGAAUCUUGCAAUCGGACUUGUAGUGUCCCUCUUUCUUGCAAUAGAAGUAUUGUCCCUUCUUUCUUUUCUUGGAUUGAUUCUUGGGUUGUUGGCCCUUCUUACUUCCUUGAGACUUUUCAGUUUGCCUCUCUUCAAUCACAUGCACUUUUGAAGUAGAAUCUUUGUUCUCUUCAAGGAUUUGACUAUCCUUCUUUUCUUGCAUGCGAAUUUCCUCUUCUACUCGAAGAGAUUUAGCAAAAAUCUCAAGAGAGAUAUCAUCUUUUUUAUGUUUGAGGUCUCUUUUGAAAUCUUUCCAAGAAAGUGGUAACUUAUCUAUUAUAGAGCAAACAAUAAUGGCUUCAUUCAUGUGUAGAUUGUGUUGUGUGUAGUGAUUAAGAAGCCUUUCAAUCUCACUAAAUUGCUCCAAAACAGACUUAUUAUCUACCAUUUUAUAAUUAUUAAAAGACGAGACAAGAAACUUCUUACUUGUAGCAUCUUCUUGCAUGUACUUGGACUCCAAUCGAUCCCAAAGUUCCUUGGCAGUAGUAAUUGAAUGGUAGACAUCGAACAGGUUGUCACUCAUGGUAUUGAGGAUGUGACCACGGCAUAUUUCAUCGUCGUUCUCCCAUUUCUGACGGUUUCAGAUGUGUUCAAGAGUUUCUUCAUCGGGAUUGAUCAAUGAUUUUGGUGUGAUCAAAACAUAGACCACUUUGAGUGCAGUGAGAAGGAAAUGAACACGUUUUUGCCAACGAACGAAAUUUCCUCCAUCAAACCGCGUGAGCUUGACAAUAUUGGAUGCCAAAUCUUUCAAGGUACCAUCCAUUGUAGAGUAUAAAUAAAGCCUAAAAAUUGUUGGGUAAAUUGUAAAGGACUAGCAAAUAUUGUAACAAGAAUUGGCUUCAAAUCGUGAUAGAAAUCACUUUCCUUUAGGCUUUAUUUGUCCGGUAUAACGUGCAAUUACCUUAGACAAAUAUCCUUUAGGAUAAGAUGAAGUUUUGUUUGUUUUAAACUCUUGCACAAAGCAAGACAAACCCUUUGUGAACUAAAGAGUGCUUUUGAGAGAGUAAGGAUAGUAGGAAAGUGAUUUUCUACAGCAAACCACUCUCUACUUGACCUCUUUAUAUAGGAAGAUUGUUUGGGAAACAAAAGAUCUCAUUAAACACUUGUAUGAAUAGAUUCAACGUAUUGUGUACACAUUCAUGCACUUUAAUUCAUGCAUCUCAUGAUCAUUUAGAUCAAAACAUGAAUCUAUCCUUUCAUUCAAUAAUUCCCAUAUACAUGAAUACAUUCAUAAAUGAAUGUACUUUUAGGAACAUUCACAAUACUAUACAUGUACCAAAAAUUAAUGAAUAUACAUUAAUUACAUGUAUGUACAUCAUACAAAUUUUGAAAAGUUUCCAACAGGCUUGUGAUAGCAAAAACUUCAGGAGGCUUCUGAAAUUAUCCCUUAAACUAAACUAAAGGAGGUAAGAUUUUAAGCAGAUCUCGGUAAGUUAAAAGGUUAAAACUUUACAUACAAAUAAAUGGUCAAAUUCACUUUAAAUUUGUGGUGUCAUCUUCCACCUUAAACUUUUGUACUAUCCAAGUUCGUUUUAAUUCCUUUGGGAAAAUCAAACAUCAAAUGCUUACCAUUUAUUGAAACAUUACAUCAUCCAUCCAAUUGAAACAAACUCCUACGGAGUUUUUUUUUUUUUUUUUUGCUUUAUUUUGUUGUUAGAUAUGAAUUUAUUUCACAUUUGGUUGUCAGAUCUAAAUUUUUUUUUCAAAUUUUAAAUCUAUUUCAACAUAUCUCAUUAUCAUUAUUGAAACUUAAAACCGUUUAUUGGCAAAUCUGGUGAUUGCCAUAUGCACGGAAGGGAUGCACUUUUAAAAUUCUUUAUAUAUAUUUUUUUAGAUUUGUUUGUAAUUUUCAAAUCUAUUGUAUCUGUUAAAUUAUGAUCUGUAAUUUUUAAUGGAUGUUUGGCCUGCCAUUAGGGGAGUUAUGCAAAUCAAAUCAUGUUAGAUGAUUUCCAAAAAAAACUUAAUCGUCAAUUACUCUUUCCCAUUUUAUUUGUCCACUUUUCAAUUGUCAAUAACUCUUUUAAGAAACUUUGUAAUACAAAAAUCAACUGAAACCAGUAGAAUAUUACUUUGUAAUAUUUUUUUUGACAAAAAAAAGUAGAAUAUACAAUUAAUAGCAGUAUUCAUAUUAUGUUUUUGUAUAUUACUUGUACAUCUAAUUAGUCCCAUUUGGAGAAAAAAAAAGGAUGAAGACAAAGACAAAAACACAUAAUAGUCACAAAAAACACAGAUCUAGCUCAAAAUAUGGCAGUGACCAAUUGUUCUGCAAAAUUAUUAGGAUAAGCAGUUGACAGAUUCUAUAAUCGCUUUUGGUCAAAUAUUAUUUAAAUUAGCUGGAUGGUCAAAUAUUACUUUUAAUUUUAAUCAUUUAAAUUACCAGUUACUAUCAUCAUUGGAAGAAGCACAUUGAGGGUCUGUUUGGAUUGUGAAUUAUUAGAGAUAUUUUUACUGUAGCACUUUUUAUGAUGUGAUGUAUGUGAGAUAAAAAGGUAAUUGGAAAGGUAAAAAGGUGUAUUGGAAAUUGUAAUAAUGAUGUAAGCAAAUAAAUUUUGAGAAAUAAAGCCCAAUCCAAACAAAGCCUGAAGGAAUGAUACUCUAAGAUGACUACAGAAAUUUUCUAGCUGGUUAUACAACAUAUUAAUAGUUGAAUGUUGACCUCACCAGCCAUCCCUCAUUCCUUGUCGCAUCCUUUUUAUGAAUUGGAUUCAUCUAUUUGGUGUUCUAAAAUCACAUUUAAAAGUUUUUUUUUUUUUGCGAAAGUGUUAUUAUUCAGGAUGUGUAUGAUAAUUUAAAAUUUUAAUAGUGGACCUAAAAAUAAAACUUGUAAAUUUUACAUAUGAGCCUACCUACUUUUAAAAUAGAGGGAAAAAAACAUCACAUAACUUCAAGUCCAAGAUUGUAUGCAGUUUGUCCAAUAAAUAGAUAUUCAUAAUUCAUAAUUUCAUAUACACAUGUUAACUAGAGAUGUCAAUCACAACCCAAUUAUAUUGAUCCGUUCAAAACCGUUCACUAAUAACCCAUCCAAAUUCACUCAUUAAAAUUUAAAUGGGUCUAAGUGAGUACCUAAUUAAAUCCAUUUAAUUGGUGGAUAGUUGAUUGAUUUGACUCACCCAUUUAUAACCAUUUAAAAAAAUAUAUUUUUAAACUCAAUUUUUACUAAGUGUUAAGAAGAUAAAUUUGAAUUUCCUACAAAUCUAAUAACAAUAAAAUAUCAUUUUUCUUGUUAAACGACAUGCAAAAAAUUUUAAAAAAAAUAGAAUUUCAAAUCAGUGUAAAUGGGUAAUUAAGUAUUUUCAUAUCCAUUUAUUAAAUAGAUAUAAAUGGAUUGAUUCAAUUAUAUCUAUUAUCCAAUUAAAAUUUGCUCAAACCUGUACAAGUCACUCAUUUUUAUGCUUCUAAUGUUAAUAUAUAUUCACAAGUGAAGAGUGCAGCAUUGACAAGGAAGAUAUACUUAUUUAUCCCAAUAUUAUAGUCAUUUUUUUCAUUACAAAAGUAUUGAUAAUUUCAUAAUUUCAUCAUCAGUGACAUAACAUUACAUGAAUUUCAACGAAGUAUGUAAUCAGUGACAUGACAUAACAUGUCAUCAUUAGUCUUCAGCGGUGAAUCUUAUCACGAGGCUUCUUUUCGAAGCUUUGAUUAUGGCAUACACUUCUGACAAUAUGUCCCUUUUAGAAUAGGGAUAAGUUUCUGUGACCAGGCUUCUUUUCAAAGCUUUGAUUAUGGCAUACACUUCUGACAAUGCCCCUUUUAGAAUAGGGAUAAUUUCAGAAACCUCCCUAGGGUUUGUAACAAUUUCAUCGAACUUUCUUGAAAUUUUUAAUAUUACACUUAUCUCCCUUUAUGAUAGACAAUAAUUAUAAUAACCUUCAUAAUUUUUUCAAAGACAAGCUAUUGAUAAAAAAGAUAAAAAAAAAUGAAAACAAUUCUUCUUGGCUAAGCCUCAUAUUGUGACUAAAUUGUUUCACCCAUAACCACUAAAUUGUAAUUUCUAUUACUCAGAAAAGAAGCAUUUUGGUAAUUGAGGGGCUUGGUUGUUUGAGUGGGAAAAGGGUAAGAAUUGUGAAUUUUAUGAUUGACGGUUUGGUAGACAACAUAUGGAAAAAACUUAUAGAGAGGUAAAAAUUAUAAAGAUAAGAAUUAUGAUGAUGGAUUUUGACAUCUAAAAUAUCGAGCUUGUUCGAAAAAAGGAAGAAAUGAUAAGAUCGAGUUUGAAAACUUGGGUAGAUGUAGAAAAUUAUGAGAUGAAAAAUAUUAGGACAUUGUCUAAGUAAUAAAACUCAUAGGUUUAUAGUAUACAAGUGUAUUCUUGAUUUUUGAAAAAUUUUAAUGACUAUUCAUAUUUUGAAAAUUAGAUAAGGGCAAUUUUGGACAUUCAUAUAUUUUUCUGGUCUUACAUCAUCAAGGUGAAACUCAAACCUAUGUUUUAGUAAAUGUAUGUGUAAUUUUCAAAAAGUGAGGAAAGCUGUCUGAAAUUAUCAGAAACCUCAGGGGUGAUUUAUGAAAUUAUCCCUAAUUUUUUUUUUGGUACAAAAAACUCCAAAAUAAUAUGUCCCACACUCUGUGCCACACUCUGUGCCACUUUUUAUUAUAUUGCUAUUUUUCCUACAUAAAUAACAUGUUUUAAUUCUUUUUUGCUUUCUUAAGAUCCAAUAACUAUUAAUUAAGUAAAAAAUAAAUACAACAACUUCAAAAAAGCAAUAUAUAAUAGAAAAUUAAAAAAUACAGCAGAAAAUUCAUAAAAAAUCUCAUUUUUUAUAUAUUUUGAUUUUUUGACUUUGUUAAAUUUUGUGUAUUACUCAAUUAAUAGUUAUUGGAUCUUAAGGAAGCAAAAAAGAAUUAAAAUAUGAUGUUUAUGUAGGAGAAAUAGUAAUAUAAUAAAAAAUGGGACAGGCACAUGGUGUGGGACAAAAGGUCCGUUGCACCAAAAAAGUGGCAGUUCAAACUGGAACCAUCUCCUAUUUUCGCAAGUCCUCCCGCCGGCGGCCCUGGGUCAUCUAUAAAAGUAUAGACCAAGACAACACUAAUCCCUCAUCAGUCCACUCCAUACUUCUUCUUCAAGCCUCAGCAACGAAACAAUAAACUCUGCUCCACUCAACUCUUUCCUCUGUGUCUUGUGCUCUUGUCUGAAAAUGGCGGCGUCAGAAGAAGUGAAAGUGCCAAGAAUCAAGCUGGGGUCGCAAGGUUUUGAAGUUUCAGCUCAAGGGCUGGGCUGCAUGGGCAUGUCAGCCUUCUACGGGCCGCCAAAGCCCGAGCCUGAUAUGAUCAAACUCAUCCACCAUGCUAUUUGCAGAGGAAUCACCCAUCUUGACACCUCCGAUAUCUAUGGACCUCACACCAACGAAAUACUCAUUGGCAAGGUACCAUAUUUGCAAAUUUUCUGCUGUUGUCUGCUAUGCGUAAACUCUUGUAAUUUUAAUUUCUAAAAGAGCAUAUUUUUAAAUAUUUUAUUUAGGUAAAUUAUACUUAAUCCCUUGCACUUCAAAAUUUGUCUCCCUUUGUGCCCCCUUAAUUUUGUUUGUCAGCACUUAAACUCCACUUGUUUAAAUUGUAAGUAUUAUUAGUCAAAUAUGACAUUGUUCUUCUUCAUUUUUUCAUGUUACUGCCUUUUCAGUUUGUCCUCCUUUAUAAAUAUGGGAUGAAUUACUUUGAUUUUGAUUUUGGUGCAAUUUUGUAUAAAAUGAUUUUUGCUAUGAAGUUAUUGAUUUAUUAUGAGCUAUGCGUUGUAUAUUUACACAAAUUCUGCUAGUUAAACAUUCACUUGAGCAGGCCUUCCAAACAUGAGCAAUAUAAUUCUCUAUGGGUGCAUUUGGUAAAAUUGACGAUUGAAAAUUGAAAUCUAAUUUAAAGUCUGAAUCCAUAAAAUUAUUAAUUUGUUAAGUACUAAAUUUGAUACGUUUGAGUGCAUGUCAUGUCAAGUGAUCACAGAAUAACUCAUCACUUAUUUUUUAAAGCAAGUUUUGCUUAAGAAAUUCAGUGCCAUUUAAUUAAUUUAGAUAUUCAAUGUUUAAUUAUCAAACAUAUAUGAAUAUAUUAACAUCUGAAUCUAUUAAUUUUAAGUGCUGAAUUGGGUUAUCAAACAUGACCUAUAAUUAUUAGGUAACCAAGCAGACAACAUGUUUAGUGUAUAAUAGUAAUUAACUUUCAAUUUGUGUCGUUAUUCUUUGGUAAAGAACUCUUAGAAUUAUUAAUAAUAAAUUUCUCAUACACGGGAAUCAAAAUAAUUGAAGUUUUAUCUCUACCAUUGAGAUAUGUUGCCAUCUAAAAGAAAGGAAAGGGAAGGAAACAUGGGGGAAAAUAGGGAAAGGGCAAAGUGAUGAUAAAUAAAAUUGGAAGUAGCAAAAUGAGACAAAUGAAUUAUUGCAAGGGGUUAAGUGUAAAUUAUGUUUAUUUUAUGAGACCAUUUAGGCAGAAAGACUGGACCCUUUUAACGCGCCAAUCAAAAGUUCCAAUUGCUGAAAAUAACAUAAAAACUUGACUUUGUUUGGUUUGGCGUUUUUGGAGGUGGUUCAUGAAAAUUUUAUUGUAGUUUUUUUUUUCAUCUUGAAAAAUAUACUUUUUUCAUCAAUUUAUGGAAAGUUUACAAUUUCUCUGAUAACAGAUGGUAAAAUUUACUUUUUACGAGCACUGAAGUUUUAAAGAUUAUGAAAAGAGAAUUGUAUGAAGGAAUAGAAGGGAAAAGAAGGGUAAGAAAAUGGAUGGAUUGUGUUUGGAUUGAUUUUGGGAGGGGCAAGGAGAGGAAACGGAGAGAAAAGGAAAUGGAUGGAUUGUGUUUUGCUCAGACAUCAUUUCCAUACAAAAGUAGAUAGAAACAGAGGGAAAGAAAAUCUUGUUGAUGAUUUUCUAGUAAAAUGCCUCGAGCACCCAAAUUUUACAUAAACUUGCCAUUUGUGAAACCUGCUUUAGAUAUGAAUUGUGGGAUGCAACAGCAGGCUAGGAAUGUUUGACGAAGCAACUUGUGUAGAUAUUUUAUCGUUAAGUAAAGAGAAAAACUAUUCCUUUCAUGUCUGUCGUUCUACCAAACAGCAUAUUUAGGUUUUCUUUCUUUCCCAUUCAUAUCUAAUCCAAAUAAGACAAAUGAGAACUAUUUUCUCUACUCUCCUUUCCUUUCUUUUUCACUAGCAUGUUUUAUUUAUUUAUUUAUCCUUUCCUUUGAUCCAAAUGGUUCCUAAAAGGCCACUAAUUAUUCUACAUUGACCAGUUCCCUAUUUUUGUAUUAAUUUGCAUGUGCACGAUUCUGUGUAUGUUCAUGUUGUGCAUCAAAUCUUGUGAAUGACAAAGCUAGAGUGUAAAUUUAAGUUGAAGAAAUAUAAAACAAAAAAGAAAAUGGAUUGGCUCCUUUAAGAGUAUCAGACUUCUAAACCCCAAGGAUUACAUAAUUUUCAUAUCCUUUGCGAUACAAAGAAGUGGCAUAGCCUUAACAAUGAAGUGUUGGAAAAACUCCAGAAGGAAUGUGCCAUCCAUGAAAUCCCAAAUCGGCUUGCUGUACCAUGCAGUAAUGUGUAUGUCCUUGAUGAUUAACAUAAUGAAAUCAUGGUUCUAGGCCUUGAAGGAAGGAAUAAGAGCGAAAGUGGAGCUAGCAACAAAAUUUGCAAUCAGUUAUCAGGAUGAGAAGUUUGAUGUACGUGGUGAUCCAGCCUAUGUGAGGGCUUGUUGUGAAGCGAGUUUGAAGCGGCUUGAUGUGGACUGCAUUGAUCUCUAUUAUCAACAUCGCAUUGAUACACGUGUGCCCAUUGAAGUCACGGUUUGCUCGUCUUGCCUUUCUUGUUUUUUAGCUCCACCUCAUUCUUGAUGAAACAAAAGUUUGAUCAACUCCAAAUUUUGAAUAAUUCAGUUUCAUGUCCGUUUCAAUUCUUCAAAAGUUGCACAGAAAAGUUAGUCAACCUUAUGGUCUCGGCUAAUCUGCAGUAUGGUAUAGCUGAUUUUGCACAAGGCAUCCUGAAAAGUGAAAACAAUGAAUAUGUCUUAUAUUAGCUUUGGCUGUCCUGCUGAGGGAUAUACAGGUGGAAAUCAUGCUAUACAUUGUACAGCUUUCCUUUAGAACCAAGAAACCCGAGCAUUCUCUUUCAAUUGAGAUAGGCUAUCUGGUUGAGUAAUGAUCUGCUAUUUACUUACCUUGUCAACCAUUUUCAGUUGGUGCCUAAAGCACUGCAGAUAGACAUUUAUUAUUGAUAUCUAAAAAACAUGGUACUCAUUUUGUCCAGAGCACAGCUUUUUGUCUAAUUGUCAAAGCCAGCUGCAACUGCCCCAUUGACCUCUCCAGACAAUUCAAAGAUUUCAGCAGCUUGCUUACAUUCAGCUUUUAUGAAACAAUUUCUGUCUUCUUUUUCUCAUGUAAUCAGCAAAGAAUUGUCUUGGUUUCCCUGAGUAUUAGAUAGAAACUUUCUUGCAGUUUAAUCACUCAAAAUACAAGCAAGUAUAAAGGAAAUCAAGCAAAAUUGGCAACUGAUAAUUGGUAUGUACGGCCAUUAUUAUAUAUAGAAGUCAACAAUGCCAUGUAAUCAUAUUGGAGGAGCAUUAUGUUGGCAUGGUCCAGUAGAACUAAGUCCUCCGGUGGGCUGUACAUAGAGAACUAUCACUGGAUGCUGAUUGCCAUUUUCAUCAAUUAGUGAUUUCAGUUUGAUGUAUACUUUGUCCACGACAUCGUUGAACUAGUGCAACUUUUACUUUUUGCACGUAAUAUUUCGAUUAUCUGCCUAAGUGUUGAAUGUAAUAAAUCAGCUUAGCAUCUUCUUGUCCAUUGAAAUUCUCUAGAUAGGAGAGCUCAAGAAACUGGUUGAAGAGGGUAAAAUAAAGUAUAUAGGUCUGUCUGAGGCCUCAGCUUCAACAAUUCGAAGAGCACAUGCUGUUCAUCCAAUAACAGCUGUACAGUUGGAGUGGUCAUUGUGGACCAGAGAUGUCGAGGAAGAGAUUAUUCCCACUUGCAGGUAGUGCAUAUAUUCUGCUGCAUUUUCUACAUGGUCUAGAAGAAAUAUUAAGUUCUCAAUUCAGUUUUUGGUAUAAUCUUUCAGAGAGCUUGGCAUAGGGAUUGUUGCAUACAGUCCACUUGGACGAGGUUUCUUCUCAUCAGGUCCAAAGCUGAUUGAGAAUUUGGCUGAAGGUGACUACCGAAAGGUUUGUGCAUAUCGAAAAAGAUGGAGUUUUUGAGUAUACAUUGUUUAUAGUUCGAAUAAGUUUCUCACUCAUCUAUUUUUACCACAUUCAGUGGCAAUCAUGCUUGAUAUCAAAAGAGGAAGAAACUAUGUCACUUUUUAAGUAAAAGUCUCUUUACGGUUUUGAAGGGAAAAGGACCUUAGACUUCAAUUUCAUCAUUUAAUCUCAGGCACAGAACUUAUGCUGUCCUGUGAAACUAUCAUUUUUCCUUUACCAUUAAUCCUAAAACUGAGUUUCAUUGGUCAGAAAUAUACUUCAUAGUAGUACCUCCUCUAGCGUUCAUCGUAGUACCUCCAUCGUUCAAACAAACAAAAAUUAGUUGAUUUGUAUUUUAAGUUUCCUCUUUGAUGGGAAAUGUAUCUCAGAACUUAACUCCAACGGUUGAUGCUUCCUCCGUGGAGUAUUCAGUCGAACUUGAUGCAUUGUUCUUUCCCCUGAACUUGUGCCCUUCAAACAGUAUUUCUGAUCAUCUUGAAGUAAUUAGUACCGUCUGUUCAUUACUCCCUCCCGAUUUCUUGCAUUAUAGCUUCCUCUUUAAUGGGAAAUGUAUCUCAGGAUCUACAUUCUACAAUUGAGGUUUCUUAGAGUACUCAGUCCACCUUACUGGAUUGUUCCUUCCCCUGAACUUUGUACACCUUAAACAAUACUAUCGAUCAUUUUGAAGUUAUUCAUAUUGUCUUCAUUUGUAGAUGACACAUGCUUUGCUCCCUUUUGAAUUUCUGGCAUUACAGUUGCUUAAAUUUUGAAAUUCAUACAAUGUAGGAUAUGCCAAGGUUUCAAGCAGAGAAUUUGGAGCAGAACAAGAACUUGUAUGAGCGGGUCAAUGCCAUUGCUUCAAGGAAGGGUUGUACUCCAUCACAGCUAGCAUUGGCCUGGGUCCAUCACCAAGGCAAUGAUGUUUGCCCCAUACCUGGCACUACCAAGAUUGAGAACCUCAAUCAGAAUAUAGGAGCUUUGUCUGUAAAACUGUCAGCAGAGGAAAUGGCGGAACUUGAAUCUUUUGCUUCUGCGGGAGUCAAGGGUGAUAGGUAUGGGCCUGGCCUUGGUACUUGGCAAACUUCUGAAACUCCACCUUUGUCAACCUGGAAGAGAACAUGAAGACAUACUUUGUUAUUGCAAUAAUUCCUUCUAGCUAUGUGCCUGAUGGUGGAUUCCACUAUAUUAAGAGUUGAGUGAUAUGUAUUUGUUCCAAUAAAGUUUGACAUACUAUUGUCUCUAGGGUUAAGGCAAGUAAAGUUAUAAGAAGAAUGGAGUUUCUUCAGAGGUUGUAAUGAAUAAAUAUCUGGUCAUGUAAAAGCAGAAUAUAAUUUUCCUUGCAGUUGAAUGCAUUAAAGGUUAUAUAUUGUACUUUUGAAUGCUAUAGUGGUCCAUUUUUUAUGUGCUACUGCUACGAGAGUUAUAGAUUGUCGAACAGCAUUCAAUUCAGGACUUAUUAAACAUAAGCAUAUAAACAUUUUAUGCUCGGAAUAUUUACAUCAAAAGAAACUCCAAGGUCACAUCAUUGUAAAGUGUAAACUACAUCAUAUUAAUAAAAAGCAAAAAAAAAGGUCUAAAUGAGGAAAAAAAUGUACUAUAGAAGAAGUCAACAAUGUCAUGUAAUCAUUUUAUCCUAAAAUUGAGAUUCAAAUUUAGUUGAUUUGUAUUUUGAGUUUCCUCUUUGAUGGGAAAUGUAUCUCAGAACUUUAACUCCAACAGUUGAUGUUUCCUACUUGGAGUACUCAGUCCACCUUGAUGCAUUGAUCUUUCCCCUGAACUUGUGCCCGUCAAACAAUAUUUCUGAUCAUCUUGAAGUAAUUAGUACCAUCUGUUCAUUACUCCCUUUUGAUUUCUUGCAUUAUAGUUUCCUCUUUAAUGGGAAAUGUAUGUCAAGAUCUACCUUCUACAAUUGAGAUUUCUUAGAGUACUCAGUCCACCUUACUAGAUUGUUCUUUUCCGUGAACUUUGUUCACUUCAAACAUUACUAUGAUCAUCUUGAAGUUAUUCGUAUUGUUGUCUUUUGUAGACGACACAUGCUUUACUAAUUACUGCACUUUGAAUUUCUGCAUUGCAGUUGCUUAAAUUUUGAAAUUCAUACAAUUUAGAAUAUGCCAAGGUUUCAAGUAGAGAAUUUGGAGCACAACAAGAAGUUGUAUGAGCGGGGUCAAUGCCAUUGCUUCAAGGAAGAGUUGUACUCCAUCACAGCAAGCGUUGGCCUGGGUCCAUACCAAGGCAAUGAUGUUUGUCCCAUAACUAGCACUACCAAGAUUGGAAACCUCAAUCAGAAUAUAGGAGCUUUGUCUGUAAAACUGUCAGCAGAAGAUAUGGCUGAACUUGAAUCUAUUGCAUCAGCUAGAGUCAAGGGUGAUAGAUAUGAUCCUGGCCGUAUCAAGGGCAGAGGUUAUGGGAUCUGAUUAUGGGCAACUGAUUAUGGAAUCUAUUCUAUCAUAAUUGCAAAGAUUAUGACUGAAAUUAUGGGAUCUGCUCUAUCAUGUAUAUUAGCUGUAUAUUAGCAUAUGUGUCAUUAAUAUAUCAGAUAGGUAGAUAUAUUCUUACAUAGAAUAGAAUGUACAGAGUUUCUAUUUAAUGGAAAAGAUGCACAAAAGACAGCAUUCAGUCUUUGAUCUAGAAAAUUGUCAUGGUAUCAGAGCUGGUUAUUUGAAUUUCUGUGUCUUUCAAAAUUUGCUGAGUUGUUAUUCUUCUUGGGUUGAUUAUUUUGAUCAAUCAUUUGGUUUCAAGAUAUCAUUUUGGGUCAAUCAUAUUGUGGUUGGCAGCCUUUCUUGUAAUUCAGAUCUUUGUUUUUUUGAAAGUAUGUCUGUGGCAAACUCUUUGGGAAAAACACAUACGGAAUCUUUGUCUAUCAAGUUCAUUGGGAAAAAUUAUGCAGCAUGGGAUUUAGAAUGUUUCUAAAGGCAAAGAGCUUUGGAGUCAUAUUGAUGGGUCUUCUACAGAACCUAGAGAUGGAAAAGAAUUUAGUCAAUGGGAGGCAAAGGAUGCUAGAAUUAUUUCUUGGAUUCUAGCAUCUAUUGAAGCUCAUAUGGUGAAUAAUUUACACUCCUUUAAUACAGCAAAGGAGAUGUAGGAUCAUUUGAAGCGUGUAUAUCAUCAAGAUAAUACAGCAAGAAGAUUUCAACUUGAAUUGGAAAUUAGUAACUACGGCCAAGAUAACCUCUCUAUUAAGCAGUAUUAUUCUGGAUUUUUUAAUUUAUGGAGCGAAUACUCUGGUAUAAUCUAUUCUAAGGUACCAAGCGAAGCCUUAGCUGGUAUUCAAGCAGUUCAUGAAGUUAGUAAGCGUGACCAGUUUCUAAUGAAACUAAAGCUUGAAUUUGAAGCGGUCAGAGCUGGAUUGUUAAAUAGAAAUCCAAUUCCUUCUUUAGAUGUAUGUCUUGGUGACUUGUUGCAAGAAGAACUGAGAAUGGCUACACAAACUAUCAUAGGUGCAUCGAAGGAGAUAUCCGAAGUUGUCAAUAUUGCCUAUGCUGCUCAAGGGAGGAAUCGCGAAAAGGGACAAGUACAGUGCUUAAAAGCAGUCUGUUUGCCAGACACAUGGUGAGCCACAUUUAAAAAUUGGUUUCUAUCAUAAAGCCUAUCAUGUCCGGACAGAAGAUGGACUGUUUUUUAAAUUUUUUAUGAAAGCAAGUGAAAAGUGUUGCAACUCAGGACUUGGAUGGUAAUUCUAAAAUUUAUUAGUGCACCUACCUUUUAACUUUUGGUGUGCUUUUAAGGUAUCAAAUGGGGGAAAAAAAACCAACACCAUAUAACUUCAAAUGCAAGAUGGUACGAAAUUUGUAUCCAUUGACAUGUAAAAAGUGCACCGUUCAUCACAAAGAUAUUUAUCCUAAUAUUAGAUUCAUUUUUUCAAAAAUUCAACUUUGCAUGCAAACAUGUAAUCAAUAUGCAUAAAUAGAUAGCAUUAGAUGAAUUUAAACAAGUAGCCUUCAAAUUUAAAAAUAUUUGAUUUCAUAAAGGUGCAUUCGCAAUUUAGAAAAAGGACUUUUCAAAUGGCAAAUCUAGAGAGCAAUAAAUACUCCUACUUUAUUUUGAUUUCAAAUCUUAUUUUGACUUGUCAAAAAAGUGAAACACGAAACCAAUAAUGGGUCAGAUACAAGGCUAAUUACUCAGAAUAUCGAUGUAAAAAAUAUUGGACAUAUAUGAUUUUGACAAUGGGCAUGUAUAAAACUAUUGCUGUAAGGUUGUGUCAGCCCGGCAGCAAAAGAGGGUUUUUUUUUAAAGCCUGCCAUUGCCACCGAGCUGACACGGCUCGGCAGCAAUAGUUUAAUUUUUUUUAAACGCUGCCGGGCCUUGUCAGCCAGAUAGAACAAAAAAAAAAAAUUUUUUUUUAAACACAGCCCGGCAGCGGGCAACAUUUGCAAAAAACUUUAAAAAGCUGGCUGCCGGGCUACGACAGUUCAAAAGAUUUUGCUAUCCGCCUACAACACCAGGUGAUAAAGAUAAGGGCAAAGGCGUACCGGGCAUUGAUAUGAUCAUUUCCGGUGCAUGUUUUAAAAUUUCAAAUAUUUGAAUAUGGGGAUUUAGCGUUAUUUUAAUCUUUUAUUAUUAUAAUGCUUGUCGUUAUUUUUAAAUUUCACAAUUUCAGCAUGUCAUGUUGUGCAUUUUUCCUUCUUUUUUUUUUUGCCUAUUUUGUUUUUAUAUUGCACAAUAACUUUAUAUUUAUAAAAUUAUAUUGUACAUUAAAAAUUACAUAAUAAUUUUAACAAACAAUUUUCCGGUACAAUUUGAAAACUGCAUCUUAUUGUAAAAUGAAAGAGAUUUUUUGUUUAAAAAACCUUUUUUUAGUUUUUUUACCUAUCGGAGUAAUUAUUAAUUUUACAAAUCUGUUUUCAUCUUUUUCUUACGUUCCAACUUUGAAACGUAAUUUAAUUAACUUAAAAGACUGUCGGGUUUAGUAUGUCAGGUAUCACACUUGUUGUAAUUAAAAAAAAAUUUUCUUCUUAUUUUUCAUUUUUUGUUUUUAUAUUGCAAAAUAAAUUUAUACAUUUUUUCGAUUUUUCUAUACAAUUUAUAACAAAAAAAAUAAUAUCAAAUAUUAUACAUUGUAAUUUUAACAAUUAUUUUGCAACGGUUUAAAAAACCUUUUUUUAGUUUAACAUCCUAUAUAUUUUACGAAAAUGAUUUGAAUAUUUUUUAAUCAUUUAAAGAAAAGAUAGAUUUCUACAAUUACUAUUUUUUAAAUUUUAAUCCUUAAGAUAAAGAUUUUUGCGGGAAAGAUGAAGAUUUAAAGAAACAAUAAAGAGGCAAAGAAAAUAAAAGAGAAAAAUAGGAGAGGUAAUUUUGUCCAAUGGAGGAUAUAAUGAGACAGAAAAAUUCCGAUGAGGGAUAAAGUAAAAAAAGAGAUAUAUUUUAAGGACAUUAAUUGUGAUUAACCCUAUUUCUUAUGCUCAAUUUGUAACUGGUCCAAAGCAUCAAAAGUAGCGUCCGCCUCCCAGGUGAUGAAUUCAUGGUCUUGAAUGUCCAAUAACCUAAGAAGAGUAAAAAGAUCACUUUAAAGUUGCUCCACACCCUACAAAUGCUUCUGAUACUAACUUUCUCGUCAUAUUAACAAAUGCUCCGCACCUUAAUGCUUCAGCACCCGUAAAAAACGUGUUUUUGCAACUGGUCCAAGAGUUGAACCCUUCGCUCAGAGUUACUUCUGGAUGUUGAAAAAAACAUUUCGAUCACUUGAAUCUAACCUCCCGCGUCUAAUCAAGCCAGAAGGCCAGCUUUUUUUUCACUGACCCUUCAACGUGAACCUUCUGAGAACUUAUCUCAAGGGAAACUUUUAGUGGUUCAGUAGAAUUUUUUUUAAUCCUCUUACAUGUUUCAUUCGUAUCUCCUACUUCAUGUCCGUGCAUUGUUGAAUUCUGAAGUGCAGGUCUUCUUUCGCCCGUAUUGUUAACCUUCUUUUUCAUGUUCAUUGAAGCACAGCAUUCUUUUUUCAGGUUUGAAAUUUUUUUUUUAAAUUGGACUAGCUGCUGGACUGAGCUUUUUAAAGUUUUUUGCAGAUGUGCGUCAGCCCGGCAGCCAGCGAAUUAAGAAAAAAAAAAAUUUUUUUGAGGCCCGGCAGCGUUUAAAAAAAAAAAACUAUUGCUACCGGGCAAGCUUUAAAAAAAAAAAAAAAAAAACCCUAACAGCAAUAUUUUUAUACAUGCCCAUUGUCAGAACCAUAUAUGUCCAAUUUUUUUUUCAUCGAUAUUCUGAGUAAUUAGCUGAGAUAGAGAGGAGUAUUAGAAAUUUGUUUUCUAGAUUCUUUGGUCUCCCAAUUUUUUCAACGGGUCAACUCCGAUCAUUAUUAUCACAGUCAUGUGAUUGUAGGUCUACCACGCUUCAUAGUCCACAACGUGGAUUGGCACCACAAAGGAUGGUUUCAAAACACCAUUUUAGUCUAGUAAGGAUUGUGUAUAUAACACAAGUCUUUUUAGGUUUUCCCUCCCCUGUAAUCUAAAAUAAAAUAAAAUAGGUUAUACAAUUGUUAUAGUCUUCAGAAAAAAAGGAUAGGUCCCACCCUAUUAUUAUUAUUUUUCUUUUAUAAAUCAACAACGCCUAUUCUACACCUAUUUCAACUUCUAUUCUAGGGGAACGGGAGGUUCAACUGAAAAAUUAAUGGUGAUUGAACCACGAACGGACCAAAAACUUUCAAGAUAAAAUUUGAUCUAAAAAAUAAAUAAUAAUAUAUUAACUUAUUAUUUAAUGCGAUACAUAUUCAAAUAUAUUAAAUUUAAUAAUUUAAUAAAUUUUAAAUUUUACAUUUUAAAUUUUAAUUUUCAACCUUCAAUGUUGCCGUACUUACAACAACAACUUCUAGAUGGUCAACACUUAGAGUCGUAGCCCUUGCUUUUGGCAUACCCUAGUCCCUAUUUCUGUUGUUAUCAAUGAGGAAGCAAAUGUCUGCUAUUAAUUACACGAGACAUCAGUAGGUUUGUUUGGAUUGGAGGUUAUUUGAAAUAUUUUUUUGAGAUAAUUAAUGUAGUACUUUUUGUGAUGUAAUGUAUAUAAGAUAAAAUUGUGAUUGGAAAUUGUGUGGAUGCAAAACAAAAUUUUGAAAUUUUUUUUUGAAAACCUUAAUAUUAUUGGCUGCACUACAAAUCAGUCAAAACUCAAGAGAUGAUAUUAAUUGAAACAAGUGGGCAAAUUGAACGAGGAUGCGUAAUUGACAUGGAAGUCUUGGUAGACUUGGAGGUAGGCUUGUCAACGGAUUGGGUCUGGGUCGGAAUUCAUUAUUCUGGACCCGGAUCCGACAUACUAUAUUGGACUCGGAUUCGACCCAUUUAUUCGACGGGCCUUCUACUCUAUAUUCUGAAUCCGGAUCCGACGGGUCUCGGAUUCGGGUCGAGUCUACCCGAAAAAAUCUAUCAAAACUUACAAAUUCUAAUAAAAAUGAGAAAAAAAUAUAUUUGUAAACCAAUUUUUAACUAAUAAAAAAAAUCAAAUAAGAAAAAAAAUCAAAUUGACUUUACUCAAAUACAUCACCCUAAUCAAAUUAUAUUGAUAAAUAUAUAUAUAUUUAAAUUGUUAAUCCAUUUAUAUCCGAAUCCGGGUCUAAUACGGGUCGAAAUAUUAUAUUCCGUAUUCGACCCGUUUUUUGUUUGAUAAAACGGAUCCGGAUCCGGGGUCCGAGUAAUGGAAUUAAAUCCCUACUCGUACCCACAAUAAUUUGACGGAUUCGAUCCGGAUCCGGAUCUAGACUCGAACUGUUGACAGGCCUACUUGGAGGGAUCAACAUUUGAAUCUGACUUGGAUGAGGUAAGCACAAAGGUAAGCAUUUUCCAUUUUUAUUUUGGUUUUCAUUUCUUGUAUACUUUAAAACGUUUUUCAUUCUACCUCACUCACAUAUAAUAUAUAAUGAAAUGUAAAUUUUUUAUGAAAACAUAUAAAAUAUAUAAAAUGAAAAAUAAAUUUUUUAUAAAAACAUAUGUUUAUAUUUUUCUUUGUAUAAUGAAAAUUUAUAAUUCAUUCUACCAAUAUAUACGCAUAUAUAUAUAUAUAUAUAUAUGUAUAAUGAAAAAUAAAUUUCUUCUUCAUCUUUAGGGCUGCACCUACAAACAACAAAACUCAGCUCCACUCAACUCUUUCCUUCAUGUUUUUUUAUAAAAAACAUAUAUAUAUAUAUAUAUAUAUAUAUAUAUAUAUAUAUAUAUAUUAAGUUACACUAAUUGUUUUAUCUCUUAAUAAUUUUUAUUUUUUUUACUAAUAUUACCUCAUGAGAGGCAAAAAGGGUAUAAAUGGAACAAAAUUAUUAUCUCAUUUUCCAAAAGAAUUUUUUAAUGGUACUUUUUCUAACAUGGGUUGAAGCUACUAUCAAAAUCUAGUUUAGGGAAAGUUAGUGCUAUUUUUUAAAUUUUAGGGUAGAUGAGUACAACUGUUAGAAACCUCAAAAAGGGAUGGUUUCUGCAAUUAUCCCUAAAAGCAUAGACCAAGACUACACUAAACACUAAAAAUUUGACACCUAUUUCUUAUAACUAUACUAGAUAAUCUCAUAAUUAUAUAGAAAAAUAAAUCAAAAUUCAUUACACAAAAGCAUUUUUGGAUAUUUAUUUAAGAAUUUGAUCAAAUUAAUAUUAUUUUAAAGUUUUAUUACAAAAACUAUCAAAUUAAAGGAGGUAGGGGUAAUGUUUCAAACCUCACAGUGAAAUUGUUAGAAACCUCAAAGAGGUUCUUGAUAUUAUCCCUAAUUUUUUUGGGUACAAAAACCUCCAAAAAAGUGGCAGUUCAAACGGGGCCAACAUUCUCCUAUCAUCACAAGUCCUCCCGCUGACCCACUAGCCGCCGGCGGCCCUGGGUCAUCUAUUAAAGGCUUAAAGCAUAGACCAAGACUGCAGUAAUCCCUCAUAUACACAUGUUAACUAGAGGGGUCAAUCACAACCCAAUUAUAUUGAUCUGUUCAAACCCGUUCACUAAUAAUCCUUUCAAAUUCGCCCAUUAAAAUUUAAAUGGGUCUAAGUGAGUACCUAAUUAAACCCAUUUAAUUGAUGGAUAGUUGAUUGAUUCAACUCACCCAUUUAUACCCAUUUAAAAAUAAAUAUAUGACAGGGUGUCGAGCCUGUGCAAUAAUAAUUAUCUACUCAAGAAAAACACAAAUUCUGUAUAUAGCAGUGAGUAGAGUCGAAUCCACACGGACUGUAGAUAAUUCGUUUCUUUUAGAGUCCAAAGUAUGGGGGGUUUUGGAGAAUAUAAAAUAACUAAUUAACUAACUAAUAAAACAACUAAUAGAAAUAAAUAGAAAUUAAUCAAUAACCAAUAUGACUCUAGCCAAAGGUGCAACUUUUCAGACACGGUCCAUUCAACUGAUCAUCGAUGCAAAGAUAAUUCAAUUACUCAUUACUAGAUUGGUUAUAAUUGUCAUACACGCGAUGAACAACCAGCCUUUUCUUAAUUUCUCGAUAGUUAAAGUACGACCGUUAACUAUUUCUCUAACCAAGUAAUAACCCUAGGUACGACCAUAGGAUUUAAUUACUCGAUUACAUUAAUAAUUAGAAAAACCCAACCCUAACCAACAAACACGCUACGAGGGUUUGUUUAAAUUAGAUCAUACGUUUCCCUAACAUGAAACCAAUCACGCUAGUCGCCACUGGUAUUAAUCAAUUGAACAAUUACGGAUUCAAUCAAUUAAUUUAGCAUUAGAUCAUUAAGUUAAUUUGAAUAUCGGGCCCUUGACAUUCAAAUAACAUAACAAACAUAAGCAAUUAAAUCAGGAAACGUAAAAAUACCAAUGAAUAAAAGAAAUAAAUAAAAUUAAUUCGAUCUCACAGAUAUUUGGAACCGCGCCUUCAAAUUGGCCUUCGACUAGAUGAAAGGUUUAGUUCAUCUACAUGGAGGAAACCCCAUGUGAAAUUGCAGAAGUAAUUAUUCUAAAACAAAGCUAUGUUUUCGUCCUCCAUUGAAGAAAACGGCAAAGCUAUAUAUAAAGUAAUGAAUACGAAGGAACUACCUAGAAGCAAAAACAAAACGAAGCUCUCCUAUUCUAAAACAAAAACUACUUGUCUAGUGGUCCCCGCCGAAUUUAGAUAAAAGGGUGCAAUCCGUCAGAUCAAGCUUUGCCGACUUUUUCUCCUCUUUGUUGCCUAUUGCUAGGCAAAGACUUCAGUGCCCAGACCAUUCCUAAUCAGUGAAAAGAAAAUGCACUCCCUCUGCCGCACUCUGUGGGCCAGGUUGUUGAAGCUCUUUGGAGUCUCCUAUGUGUGGAGCUGUUUUAUCCUUCAGAUGGUCUCGCUCUUUUUUUUCUUUUUAUUUUCUUUUGUGUACUUUUCUGCUCCAUUCCUGAAAUGAGAUCCAAAUACCAAAUAUAAAUAUAUAUUAACAAUUAAACAAUAUUUAGUAAGGACAGAGGGGAAAUUAAUAAUAAAAUAAUCAAUAAUUAACACCCUAUCAAUUCCCCCCACACCUAAAUCAUACUUGCCCUCAAGCAUGGGGACGACAAAUAACACCAAAAUUUGAAAAUGGGUAUUGCCCCAUCUACCCUAUUGUCAAGAUACCAAGGAAAACAUCUAUCAAGCAUCAGUGAUCAGGGUUCAAGAAACAUCACCCCAAUUAGCUUCUAAACCACAAACUCCUCCAAUUUAAGACAAACUAAUCUAAGAAAAAGGAAUGGUUGCUCACAUUUAUCAACAAAUGGUCCAACUAUUAACUAAAAUCUCGAUAUUAAGAUCACAAACCGGCAAGCUGACUUAUUCACAUACUAACACAAUCUUUACUUUACUUCUUUUUUUUUUUUUUUUGAAUAACAAAAGACUUAGUCUAUAGCCCUUAGAGCCUUUUGACGCGAACUCCAACAUUUGCCAGAUGGAGAAGCCCGGUUUCUCAGCUCCAAUCGCUACGGGACCACGCACUCAUAGUAACUACUACCUUUUGAGGCGAAAAUCGACACUUUAGGUCAAGAUCCCCGAUCACUCAGUAGUAACCACUAGCGGAGUACAGUCAACUCUUAUUUACAACCAUAUAGCACGAUAACUAAAAAUAACAGCAGGCAGCCUCAAAUUUCCAAACAUGGAGAACUAAAAUUAAUAACUGGACCAAUUCACAUGAAAAAUGCCAACAAUCAUUCCCUAUGCCUAGAAAAGUUAACCAAAAAUUAGAAAAGUCAAGCAAUUACUGAUAUUCACAUGAAAAGUCAAGCAGAAGUAAGCAAAAGAGCAACUGUACUUCCCUGAAAUCACGGGGGGCAUGGCGGGGCCACAGCAGUGGGUGAGGCCGGAAAUGGUUGAUUUGGGUUGGGGUAGGCUAAGGUCGAGAGGUUCCGGACCUAGAAGAGGACUUUGAUCUCACCAUCGUCGCUAACAGGUAACCCAAUCAACAGAAACAAAAUUGCCAACAGAUAGAGGAACAAGUAAAUCUAGAUCAAUAGAAAUCAAUAUCCUCAAGUGAAGUCAACAAUCAACCCAAUAAGCACAGGUAUCUUCCAAUUUAAAAGGGUAGUGCACAAUAAAUGGCCCACCAAAUUUGCAAUGUAAAGCCCUGAGCAAUUCAAUCAAUACCAGAAAAUCGCCCCAAACAAUGUAACAGUUAAACUCCAUGGGCCAUGGACGUCCAACCAAUUUCACUCGAACAAACUAUGAGCAGUGCGAGUGACGAAACAAAGCAACAAAUUUCAGCAAUUAGACACAAUUCCACUCAAAAUCUCAACAAAUAUCUCCAAUGGACAGUCUUACACAACUUAACCAACUGGAAUUAGCAAAUAUCCCCAAGAAACUGACAAAACAAGCAAUAGUAGUUCAAAAUUUGGACUACAACUAAAUCAAAAUGUUGUUUCAGUUUUCAAUCAGGUAGCCAACCAAGUAGAAUCAAUAAAUGUAGACAAAAUACCCCAACCAGUACCACUGGUGUAUUCCACAGAAAAGAAUUAAUUCAAAUGCCAAUCCAAACGACUGAGAAACCCUAACCAAGACCAAACCGUACCAGAAAUUAGAAGAAAUGAAAAUGGGAAUCAAUUGGCAAGCAACUCCCAAAUCAACCCCAAAGAACUCCCAAAUAAAUGAAUUAUCAGAGGUGCCUUCAAAAACCAAAUACCAAAAAUGCAUAAAAACUCCCAACCAAUUCAACGGGAAAAACAAAAUUAAGCAAAUCACCUCCUGUGUUUAUCCAUCAAGGAACCCAAAAGCACAAAUUCCAGUAACUGAGGAUUCAGGAAAAAUGCCAAAACAAGGGUAGAAAGUUAAUACCUCCACCUGUCAAUUUUGACAGGUAGUGAUGCGCGGCAAGGAGGUGGCGCACGAGGUGGUGGCCGCGAGCUUUGGAAGAUGAGUUGGCGAUAGAGGCUGUCAGCUACGCGUGCGACUGUGCGCACAAUGGGAGGAGAGAGGCGCGGCGAGCUGGUGGACAGCAGCAGCGGCACGGGCUGGUGGCAGUGGCUGUGGAGCGUGGGCAGGCGGCGGUGCGCAGCUGGUCAACGAAGGAGGAGAUGGGCGGCGCUCGGGCUAAGGAGAGAGUGAUUUGGGGGCUGUGGCGGCGUGGGGUGGAGUUGCGGCGGCGGUCAAAGGCACUGGUGAGUGGAGGUGGCGGGGAUGGAGCUUGGAACGGAGGAGCUCAGCGAGCUGUGGGUGGACGGCCGUGGGCAGGGGAGCAGCGGCGGCCUUUGGAGCUGCUGAAGGUGGUCCGUGAGGUGGAGCUUGGAGCUCGGAGGCGGCGGCGAUGGAAGCUAGUCAGCGGCGUGCGGCAAUGGAUGAGAAAGGGAGACUGGUGGCGUCGGGCUAAGGAGAGAGUAAGGGAGAUGAUGGCGGAUGAGCGAAAGAAAAGAAGGAAAGGGAUACAGGGCAGCGAGGAAGAAGAGGAAGAAAAGGGAAAGAAAGGAAAGAAAAAAGAGAAGAAAAAGGAAAAAGAAAAGAGAGAAAGAAAAAAAGAAAAUAAAAUGGUUUUGGGGUUUUUUUUUCAAUAUUUUUUUUUCAAUUUUUUCCCUAAUUUAAAUUUUCAAAAUUUGAAUUUUUGAAGAAAAAGAAAGAAAGAAAAAUGCUCUUUGAAUUUUUGAAUUUUCUCAAUGUGAAAUUUUAAAUUUUUUUUUGGUUUUGGAUCGUCAAACACCGCGUGAGCACGCCAAGAUUACACUUCCUGGUCACAGUAGAGGAAAAUAUUAAGACCGACUACCACCCAAAUGAGAAAUGACAAAAUGAAAGUAAUGAACAAUGAAAAACGAUAAAACUAAUAUUUGGGUUGCCUCCCAAAAAGCGCCUUUCUUUUAUGUCUUUGGCCAGACAUUGCCAUAUUUGUUUAGGGAGGAUAAAAUCUUGUACCUCGGUUUAAUGUUUCAUCCUCUAUAUAGUCCUGAUAACCCUCGUAAAUAGAGUAAUUCUUGAACACAUGAGCUACGGUCUUCCCUGGACUAGUAAAUGGUGCCAAACAAGUCAACAAUAAGUUGAAUUUUCCAUUCACUCCUCCAUCACUUGCAUUUAUUGGUUUAAGAUAUCUUGCCAUCGCCACUCUUAAUUUAUUUCUGUCAUGAAAUUCGAAAUUUUCUGAUAUAAUAAAAUCAAUUUCAUUAACAGGAAUUGAAGAAUAAGAGUUAGAAGAAUAUUGAUGAAGGAAUGGAUGCGAUGUCACCGCAUUUGAAGAUUGUUCACUGGUUUCAUUCACUUGAACGAGUUGAUACUGGGGCAUUAUUUCUUGCACUUCACCUUUUUUUUCAACUGCAUCUUUAGAUCCGUUUUCUUGAAACUCUUGCAGUUCCAUGUCAUUUGACGGGAUAACUGCACUCUCAUCCUCUUCAAGGUUGAUAUUGGUUUGUGAGGGCAAUUCUUCAAGGUGAGAAGCUAAUCGCUCUAUCCUGGAUGUCAAUUGAUUCAUUUGAUCCGCCGGAUCCCUAAUGCUCGCUUGUGUCUCCUGAUGAAAUCGAUAUGUAUUAGUAGCAAAUAAUUCAAUCAAUUCCUGAAGAGACAUACCUGACAUGGAUGAUGGCUGUUGAGAUUCUUGCUGUUGAAAAUCCAUUGGCCCGGUCGCAUAAUUAAAAUUGGAAUCAUCCCACCAUCCUUGAUCAUACCCGUUUGAAUAAGGAUCGUACCACGUUUGAAAUCGAGGUGAAAAAUCUCCAAAAGUAUCAAUUGGAGCACUUAGAUUAUCUUGAAAUGCGGGGCAUGUGUCGGUUGAGUAACCUGAGUCAAAAUAAGUUCCACAAUUUGCAACAGUCCAUUGACCAUUAGGAAAAACUCGAGUCUCAUAACCUCAUUCGGGAAUAAAGUCCAGUCUAUCAUCAAAAUAUGGAAUGUUAGCUACCAUAAACUAUAUAUAACAAAAAAGAGAAAAAAAAAAAACAAGAUGAACUAAAAAAAAACAAAUUAAUUAGGCACCAGUCCCCGGCAAUGGCGCCAAAAAUUGACAGGGUGUCGAGCCUGUGCAAUAAUAAUUACCUACUCAAGAAAAACAUAAAUUCUGUAUAUAGCGGUGAGCAGGGUCGAAUCCACAGGGAUUGGAGAUAAUUCGUUUCUUUUAGAGUCCAAAGUAUGGGGGGGGAGUUUUUUGGAGAAUAUAAAAUAACUAAUUAACUAACUAAUAAAACAACUAAUAGAAAUAAAUAGAAAUUAAUCAAUUACCAAUAUGACUCUAGUCAAAAGUGCAACUUUUCAGAUACGGUCCAUUCAACUGAUCAUCGAUGCAAAGAUAAUUCAAUUACUCAUUACUAGAUUGGUUAUAGUUGUCAUACACGUGAUGAACAACCAGCCUUUUCUUAAUUUCUCGAUAGUUAAGGUACGACCGUUAACUAUUUUUCUAACCAAGUAAUAACCCUAGGUACGACCAUAGGAUUUAAUUACUCGAUUGCGUUAAUAAUUAGAAAAGCCCAACUCUAACCAACAAACACGCUACGAGGGUUUGUUUAAGUUAGAUCAUACGUUUCCCUAACAUGAAACCAAUCACGCUAGUCGCCACUGGUAUUAAUCAAUUGAACAAUUACGGAUUCAAUCAAUUAAUUUAGAAUUAGAUCAUUAAGUUAAUUCGAAUAUCGGGCCCUUGACAUUCAAAUAACAUAACAAACAUAAGCAAUUAAAUCAGGAAACGUACAAAUACCAAUGAAUAAAAGAAAUAAAUAAAAUUAAUUCGAUCUCACAGAUAUUUGGAACCGCGUCUUCAAAUUGACUUUCGACUAGAUAAAAGGCUUAGUUCAUCUACAUGGAGGAAACUCCAUGCGAAAUUGUAUAAGUAAUUAUUCUAAACAAAGCUAUGUUUUCGUCCUCCAUAGAAGAAAACGGCAAAGCUAUAUAUAAAGUAAUGAAUACGAAGGAACUACCUAGAAGCAAAAACAAAACGAAGCUCUCCUAUUCUAAAACAAAAACUACUUGUCUAGUGGUCCCCGCCGAAUUUAGAUAAAAAGGUGCAAUCUGUCAGAUCAAGCUCUGCCGACUUUUUCUCCUCUUAGUUGCCUAUUGCUAGGCAAAGACUUCAGUGCCCAGACCAUUCCUAAUCAGUGGAAAGAAAAUGCACUCCCUCUGCUGCACUCUGUGGGCUAGGUUGUUGAAGCUCUUUGGAGUCUCCCAUGUGUGGAGCUGUUUUAUCCUUCAGAUGGUCUCCCUCUUUUUUUUCUUUUUAUUUUCUUUUGUAUACUUUUCUGCUCCAUUCCUGAAAUGAGAUUCAAAUACUAAAUAUAAAUAUAUAUUAACAAUUAAACAAUAUUUAGUAAGGAUAGAGAGAAAAUUAAUAAUAAAAUAAUCAAUAAUUAACACCCUAUCAAUAUACAUUUAAGCUCAAUUUUUACUAAGUGUUAAGAUGAUAAAUUUGAAUUUCCUAUGACUCUAAUAACAAUAAAAUAUCAUUUUUCUUGUCAAACAACAUGCAAAAAACAAAAAAAGGUAGAAUUUCAAAUUAAUCAUAAAUGGGUAAUUGAGUAUUCUCAUGUCUAUUUGUUAAAUUGAUAUAAAUGAAUUGAUUCAAUUAUAACUAUUACUCAACUAGAAUCCGCUCAAACCCGUUUAAGUUAAUCAUUUUGACACCCCUAAUGUUAAUAUAUAUUGACAAGUGAAAAGUGCAGCAUUUAUCACGAAGAUAUACUUAUUUAUUUUAAUAUUAAAGUCAUUUUUUCAUUACAAAAAUAUUGAUAAUUUCAUAAUUUCAUGGAAGUAUGUAACCAGUGACAUAACAUAGUCGCCAGUGGCGAAUCUUGUCACGAGCCUUCUUUUCAACGCUUUGAUUAUGGCAUACACCUUUAACAAUAUGCCCCCACGUUGUCUUUCGAUCACUUUUUUUUUUUUUUUUAACCUCACAUUCGUUCGUUAUGUAUGUAUAAUUUCUUUACAAAAAAGUGAAAAACUCCAAAAACGUGGCAGCUCAAACGGGGCCAACAAUCUACUAUGUUCGCCUGUUCUCCCGCCGGACCCACCAGCCGCCGGCGGCCAUGGGUCAUCUAUAAAAGCAUAGAUCAAGACUACACUAAUCCCUCAUCAGUCCAAUCCAUCCAUACUUCUUCUUCAGGCCUCAGCUACUAAACAAUAAACUCUGCUCCACUCAAUUCUUUCCUCUGUUUCUUGUGGUUUUUGUCUGAAAAUGGCGGCAUCAGAAGAAGUGAAAGUGCCAAGAAUCAAGCUGGGGUCGCAAGGUUUUGAAGUUUCAGCUCAAGGGCUGGGCUGCAUGGGCAUGUCAGCCUUCUACGGGCCGCCAAAGCCCGAGCCUGAUAUGAUCAAACUCAUUCACCAUGCUAUUAGCAGAGGCAUCACCCAUCUUGACACCUCCGAUAUGUAUGGACCUCACACCAACGAAAUACUCAUUGGCAAGGUACCGUAUUUGCAAAUUUUCUGCUGUUGUGUGCUAUGCAUAAACUCUUGUACUUCUAAUUUCUAAAAGAGCAUAUUUGUAAGUAUUUUAUUUGGGUAUAUUAUAUUUAACCCCCUGCACUUGAAAUCUUGUCUCCCUUUGUGCCCCCUUAAUUUUGUUUGUCAGCACUUAAACUCCAUCUGUUUAAAUUAUAAGUAUUAUUAGUCAAAUAAGACAAUAAUAUUCUUCAUUUCUUCUUCUUCUUCUUCUUCUUCUUCAUUUUUUCAGAUGUUUGUCCUCAAUUGUAAGAGAAGGUCGUAGGUCUAGCACAUACGUUGAGUAGCUGUAUCCGAUUAGAAGGAUUUAGAUCAUAAUGGAGUUGGUAAAAUAGUACUAUUUUCGUCUUUGAAGUUAAAAUUGUCAUCAAUUUAUGGAAAGUUUACUAUUUCUCUGAUAAGAGAUGGUAAAAUUUACUUUUUACGAGUACUAAAGUUUUAAAGAUUAUGAAAAGAGAAUUGUACGAAUGAAUAUAAGGGAAAAGAAAGGUAAGAACAUAAAUAGAUUGUGUUUGGAUUGAUUUUGGGAGGGGCAAGGAGAGGAAAGGGAAAGAAAAGGAAAUGGAUGGAUUGUGUUUUGCUCAGACAUCAUUUCCAUACAAAAGUAGACGGAAACAGAGGGAAAGAAAAUCUAGUUGAUGAUUUUCUUAUAAAAUGCCUCAAGCACCCAAAUUUUACAUAAACUUGAGUAACCAUGUGUUUCAUAUCUGUAGAACUUGCCAUUUGUGAAACCUGCUUUAGAUAUGAAUUGUGGGAUGCAACAGCAGGCUAGGAAUGUUUGACUAAGCAACUUAUGUAAAUAUUUUAUCGUUAAGUGAAGUUCCUCUUUUGCUGUUUAAAAAAAAAAAAAAAAAAGAGAGAGAAAAACCAUUCCUUUAAUGUCUGUCAUUCUACCAAACAGCAGAUUUAGGAUUUCUUUUUUUCCCAUCCAUAUCUAAUCCAAAUAAGGCAAAUGAGAACUAUUUUCCACUACUCUCCUUUCCUUUCUUUUUCACUAGGAUGUUUUAUUUAUUCUUUCCUUUGAUCCUAAUGGUUCCUAAAAGGGCACUAAUUAUUCUACAUUGAUCGUUCCCCAUAUUUGUAUUAAUGUGCAUGUUCACGAUUCUGUGUACGUUCAUGUUGUGCAUCAAAUCUUGUGAAUGUCAAAGCUAAGAUUGUAAAUUUAAGUUGAAGAAACAUAAAAGAAAAAAGAAAAUGGAUUGGCUCCUUUAAGAGUAUCAGACUUCUAAACCCCAAGGAUUACAUAAUUUUCAUAUCCUUUGCUAUACAAAGAAGUGGCAUAGCCUUAACAAUGAAGUGCUGGAAAAACUCCAGAAGGACUGUGCCAUCCAUGAAAUCACAAUUCCGCUUGCUAUACCAUGCAUUAAUGUGUAUGCCCUUGAUGAUUAAUAUAAUGAAAUCAUGGUUCUAGGCCUUGAAGGAAGGAAUAAGAGCGAAAGUGGAGCUAGCAACAAAAUUUGCAAUCAGUUAUCAGGAUGGGAAAUUUGAUGUACGUGGUGAUCCAGCCUAUGUGAGGGCUUGUUGUGAAGCGAGUUUGAAGCGGCUUGAUGUGGACUGCAUUGAUCUCUAUUAUCAACAUCGCAUUGAUACACGUGUGCCCAUUGAAGUCACGGUUUGCUCGUCUUGCCUUUCUUGUAUUUUAGCUCCACCUCAUUCUUGAUGAAACAAAAGUUUGAUCAACUCCAAAUUUCGAAUAAUUCAGUUUCAUGUGCGUUUCAAUUCUUCAAAAAUUGCACAGAAAAGUUAGUCAACCUUAUGGUCUAGGCUAAUCUGCAGUAUGCUAAAUCUUAUUUAGCACCAGGCACCCUGAAAAGUGAAAACAAUGAAAAUGUCUUAUAUUAGCUUGGCAGUCCUGCUGAGGGAUAUACAGGUGGAUAUCAUGCUAUACAUUGUACAGCUUUCCUUUAGAAGCAAGAGACCUGAGCAUUCUCUUUCAUUUGAGAUAGGCUAUCCAGUUGAGUAAUGAUAUGCUAUUUACUUACCUUGUCAUUCGUUUUCAGUCGGUGCCAAAAGCACUGCAGAUAGAAGUUUUUUAGUCAAUAUCUAAAAAACGUGGUACUCAUUUUGUUCAGAGUAUAGCUUUUUGUCUAAUUGUGAAAGCCAGCUGCGACUACCCCGUUGACCUCUCUAAGCAAUUCAAAGAUUGCAGCUGCUUGCUUACAUUCAGCUUUUAUGAAAACAAUUUCUGUCUUCUUUUUCUAAUAUAGUCAGCAAAGAAUUGUCUUGUUUUUCCUGAGUAUUAGGAAGAAACUUUCUUGCAGUUUAAUCACUCAAAAUACAGGCAAGUAUAAAGGAAAUCAAGGAAAUCGACAACUGAUAAUUGAUAUGUGCAGCCAUUAUUAUAUCUAGACGAAGUCAACAAUGUCGUGUAAUCAUAUUGGAGGAGCAUUAUGUUGGCAUGGUCCAAUAGAGCUAAGUCAUCCGGUGGGCUGUACAUAGAGAAGUAUCACUGGAUGCUUAUUGCCAUUUUUGUCAAUUAUUGAUUUCAGUUUGACGUAUAAUUUGUCCACGACUUCAUUGAACUAGUCCAACUUUUACUUUUUUGCACGUAAUAUUUCGAUUAUCUGCCUAAGUAUUGAAUGUAAUAAAUCAGCUUUGCAUUUUCUUGUCCAUUGAAAUUCUCUAGAUAGGAGAGCUCAAGAAACUGGUUGAAGAGGGUAAAAUAAAGUAUAUAGGUCUGUCUGAGGCCUCAGCUUCAACAAUUCGAAGAGCACAUGCUGUUCAUCCAAUAACAGCGGUACAGUUGGAGUGGUCAUUGUGGGCCAGAGAUGUCGAGGAAGAGAUUAUUCCCACUUGCAGGUAGUGCAUAUAUUCUGCUGCAUUUUCUACGUGGUCUAGAAGAAAUAUGAAGUUCUUAAUUCAGUUUUUGGUAUAAUCUUUCAGAGAGCUUGGAAUAGGGAUUGUUGCAUACAGUCCACUUGGAAGAGGAUUCUUCUCUUCAGGUCCAAAGCUGGUCGAGAAUUUGGCUGAAGGUGACUGCCGAAAGGUUUGUGCAUAUCCAAAACUAUGAAGUUUUUGAGUAUAGAUUGUUUAUAGUUCGAAUAAGUUUCUCACUCAUCUACUUUUACCACUUCAGUGACAAUCUUGCUUGAUAUCCCUAUUCUUGUCUAUCUGUCAUAUGUUGCUGCACUUUUUGAUGUCCAAUAAUUUGAUUAAGCCUUAUAAUAUGAUCACAUUUAAUCAAAUUUCUAUUAAGCAGAGCAAAUCAACAGGCUUUUUUUUUUCCUGUCGAACAAGUCUUGAGGUCUUUAGUUGAUUAAAUGAAUGCAGAUUUUGGUGUCCUCUGUAUUUAGUUCAAAUUAAAAGAUAUAGCGCUAGCUUUGUCAAAUUUUAGAUCUUAUAUUAAUUGAAGGUUGUUAUUGCAUGCUGGAGAUUUAUAUAGUGGACAACAAUCACAAGCAAUCGAUAGUAUCGAAUUUUAAAGUGCAAAGAUGUCGCAAGACAUCAAAACAGGAAGAAACUAUGUCACUUUUUAUGUAAAAGUCUCUUUUCAGUUUUGAGGGGAAAUGGACCUUGGACUUCAAUUUCAUCAUUUAGUCUCAGGCACAGAAUUUCAUCAUUUUGUCCUGUGAAACUAUCAUUUUUCCUUUACCAUUAAUCCUAAAACUGAGUUUCAUUGGUCAGAAGUGUACUUCUUAGUACAAACAUUAGUUGAUAUGCAUUUUAAGGUUCCCCUUUGAUGGGAAAUGUAUCUCAGAACUUAACUCCAACAGUUGAUGUUUCCUACUUGGAUUAUUCAGUCCACCUUGAUGCAUUGUUCUUUGCCCUGAACUUGUGUCCUUCAAACAAUAUUGCUGAUCAUCUUGAAGUAAUGUACCGUUUGUUCAUUUCUCCCUUCUGAUUUCUUGCAUUAUAGUUUCCUCUUUAAUGGGAAAUGUAUCUCAUGAUCUACCUUCUACAAUUAAUGUUUCUUAAGAGUACUCAGUCCACCUUACUGGAUUGUUCCUUCCCCUGAACUUUUUACACCUUAAACAAUACUAUCAAUCAUCUUGAAGUUAUUCAUAUUGUCUUCAUACCUAUCACCCUUUACAGUUGCUUGAAUUUUUGAAAUUCAUACAAUGUAGGAUAUGCCAAGGUUUCAAGCAGAGAAUUUGGAGCACAACAAGAAGUUGUAUGAGCGGGCCAAUGCCAUUGCUUCAAGGAAGGGUUGUACUCCAUCACAGCUAGCAUUGGCCUGGGUCCAUCACCAAGGCAAUGAUGUUUGCCCCAUACCUGGCACUACCAAGAUUGAGAACCUCAAUCAGAAUAUAGGAGCUUUGUCUGUAAAACUGUCAGCCGAGGAAAUGGCGGAACUUGAAUCUAUUGCUUCUGCGGGAGUCAAGGGUGAUAGGUAUGCGC